CUGUCUCAAAAAGAAAAAUGAGGGAACUAAAAACACUAUUAAAAAAAGAAAAGAAAAGAAAAAGAAAAAAGGACACUGCUCUUCCUUGUUCUGGGGUUCCCUCUGCUCUGGACACAACAGGUCAGUGGGUCUCAAACUCUUUCUCAUCAGAAUUGCCUGGGGUGUUUAGAAAAUAACUCUGACCAAAUGAAUUAGAAUCUCUCCAGAAACCAAUGUUUCAAAUAUAAGUUCCCCAAAGUGAUUAUAAGCAGCCGAUCAAAGCACGAGAGCUACAGUUGACACAGCAAGCAGAAAGAAAUCCAAGAGACAAAAAGGCAGCCCAGAUCAGCGCUGUCACAUCAUAACACAAGUGGAUCAGAUGGGAGGGCGCUUCUCCAGGACCCCAGAGACUUCCUCUCGCUGAGAGUCCCGGCACAGCCUGGAUAGUGAGCUGAUCAGGGAAACCAAUCAGACUGUUGACCAGAGGGUAGGUGAUUAGCAGGGUGGCCAGAAAACCAAGUGACCCCGCCCAGCGUCCCUGAAGGUGGCUCUACCCAGUGACUCUUCAGCUGUACUUCACUACGGAAAAAGGCAUUCCUGAAUAUUUAACACCACUAAGAAUCAGGCAAGAGAAGGCAGGAGCUUAAACAGAGGGAAACAAGGGACACAGGAGGACAGGCAAUUAAGUUCCAAGGCUAAAGUGGAAGACAUAUUUUUAAAAAGCCAAAUGAAGCCAAGGUUUUGCAAAUGCUUCACAGGCUCAGAUUAGUUGGGGAGAUGAUUUACCCACAGACUCAAGAACACAGCCAUUCCUCAAAGGGAAAAACCACCACUGCUGGUAUACAAGAACAGAGGAUAGACUCACAGCAGGACUCCCCAGGCUUCUAGCUGGUAGCAGACCCAGAGGAGAGAAGAAUCUGAAGCAACACAAGCCAUGAGCCACACGAGGUACCCACACACCUUCCCCAGCAUGACCAGCAGGUUAGGACUUGGGAGGCUGAACUGUGUCUGGAUCAAGCCUGGCUCCACCGUUUAUUAGCUGUGUGACCUUGGCCAAGUCACACAAACGAUCACUAUCAGCUUCAGUUCCUUAUCUAAAAAAUGUCACCAUUUAAUACUAAUUGCACAGGACUGUAGUAAAAGUUAAAUAAUGUUGAGAGUGUACAGCACAACAUUAGGCUGAAGGUAAGGUUCUGACAAGUGGCAGGUUUGUUAUACCAGAGGCUAGCUAACUAGCUGUGACUAGCUGAAUGUGAGAGCUCAACAGGGCCUUACAGACCUGAUCCUAUUCUUGACAGCUAUAGAGAAGGAAAUGAAAGUGAGGCGAAGUGACCUGCCCAGAGUCACACAGCCAGUUGGUGGCAAAGCCCAACCCUGCCCAAGACUCACAACUCAAACAAGGCUCCCCUAUCAGAAACACAAAGAAAAACCCAAGAAUAAUGUCAUUACAUCUACUAAGAAUAACGGGGGCUACAACCUUCUAUGGAUGCUUUAAUAAAAUAUGGCUUGGCUUUU